GGGACAGGAACGCGCGCCGCCGGGAGGCCGAGGAGGCAGCCGGAGAGCGCGCCCGCGAGUGGGAGCGGGAGGGGAGGCGGGGAGCUGCGGGCGGCGCGGGCUGGACUCAACCAUCCCCGCGGAGGGGCGGGGGCUGCCUCGGCGCGCACGCUGCAGAAGGAGACUCGUUGGCUCGCGUGGGGAAGCCCACGCCGCGCACGGCACGCGGGAGAAACCACGCGAGGGAGCAAGGGAGCGAAGGAGCGGGGCCGCGGGCGAGCCGGGUGCUGCGGGACUCAGGCUGGCCGGCCUCCAUGGACUGCUUUCUCCUUGAGGAGCAGAGCGCCAAGCGAGCCCUGCGAAUUCUGCCUGCUGUGUGCUCCCUACACUGUGAUCCUGUGGCGUGGCGGUGAACCCAGAAGCCGCGGGGGGACUACAGGCUGCAGAUGUAAGCCCUGAGCGCCAGUUCACCCAGUUCACGGAGGGCUCCUGUGGCCCCUGCGGCCAGAAGCUUUCUCUUCUAGAGGCAGCAGCUUCCAAACUGGAGGAACUGCGUCACAUCUCCAGAAGUGACUCGGGUUGUCCCGGGGCAGGGUCCUUUUUGAUAUUUUUAUUUAUUUUUUGCCUCUGUUAUCCUUGGAGGGAGAACAGAAAAACAAGAGCUCAGGAAACCCCAGAAAUUCCCAGGGGAGAACCGUGGCUUCCACUGUUUAGGCUGAACCAGGUAUGUGGAGGGGAGGGUCACCCCUCUGUGAUUUUAACUCAGAGCCCAGGGUACCUGUAACUCUGCAAGUGAGCAAAAACGCCUUUUUAAGACCCAGUAAGUGCUCCAGUAGUUCACUUCGAGCUCAUCAGGAAAAAUUGAUCUCCUUCAGGAGCUAAGGAGAAAGUGUCCUGGCUUUGCACUGCCAUCCCUAACGACUUGUGUCACCUAGAAGCAUUUCUGCCAUUAGAAAACGUUUCCAAAAUCGAACUCUCCUGGGCUAUGACUCCUACGUGACUUCCAGGCUAUUAGGAUCCCAGGACUGCAUGUCCGUGGAAGAGAUUCCAUUCAAAUCAUUGCUAACUGAAGAUUCUGAUAACCAGGAGCCAUGCAGUGUUGCUGCAUUUAUAACGAGACAUUGUCUUCCACCAGAUAGAAGAUAAAGAGCUCUAAUAAUUCAUGACAAGUUGUUUCGUGGUCAUACGUAGGAGAGGGUGGGAAAUGGCCGUCAAAUAAGAUAGGCCGAAUUUGUAAUCUGGCUGUGUUUGUGAGUUAGUAUUGCAAUCUCCCAAGAUGGGCAAUUGCUUUGGAGGGAAAUCGUGGGGCACUGCUGCCAUCUAGUGCCCAGGUUUUCUUGUUUGGUGUUUCUAGAGAAAUCCAUCCUUGGGUCUCUGCUCUCUUACCUGAUCGGGGCUCCCUUUACUGUUUUUGAGGGCCCUUCCAGGAGACGCCCUCCCUCCAGGCUGUCAGGCAACAUGUGAAAGUUAUUGUUACACUGGAG
rnacentral:lncRNA from 1 species